rnacentral:rRNA from 1 species
UACCGUGAAACUGCGAAUGGCUCAUUAAAUCAGUUAUCGUUUAUUUGAUAGUACCUUACUACUUGGAUACCUGUGGUAAUUCUAGAGCUAAUACAUGCUAAAAACCCCGACUUCGGAAGGGGUGUAUUUAUUAGAUAAAAAACCAAUGCCCUUCGGGGCUCCUUGGUGAUUCAUAAUAACUUCUCAGAUCGCAUGGCCUUGCGCCGGCGACGGUUCAUUCAAAUUUCUGCCCUAUCAACUUUCGAUGGUAAGGUAUUGGCUUACCAUGGUGGCAACGGGUAACGGGGAAUUAGGGUUCGAUUCCGGAGAGUUAGCCUGAGAAACGGCUAACACAUCCAAGGAAGGCAGCAGGCGCGCAAAUUACCCAAUCCCGAUACGGGGAGGUAGUGACAAUAAAUACUGAUACAGGGCUCUUUUGGGUCUUGUAAUUGGAAUGAGUACAAUUUAAACCUCUUAACGAGGAACAAUUGGAGGGCAAGUCUGGUGCCAGCAGCCGCGGUAAUUCCAGCUCCAAUAGCGUAUAUUAAAGUUGUUGCAGUUAAAAAGCUCGUAGUUGAACCUUUGGCCUGGCUGGCAGGUCCGCCUCACCGCGUGCACUUGUCCGGCCGGGCCUUUUCUUCUGGAGAACCGCAUGCCCUUCACUGGGUGUGUUGGGGACCAGGACUUUUACUUUGAAAAAAUUAGAGUGUUCAAAGCAGGCCUUUGCUCGAAUAUUACAGCAUGGAAUAAUAGAAUAGGACGUGCGGUUCUAUUUUGUUGGUUUCUAGGACCGCCGUAAUGAUUAAUAGGGACAGUCGGGGGCAUCAGUAUUCAAUUGUCAGAGGUGAAAUUCUUGGAUUUAUUGAAGACUAACUACUGCGAAAGCAUUUGCCAAGGAUGUUUUCAUUAAUCAGUGAACGAAAGUUAGGGGAUCGAAGACGAUCAGAUACCGUCGUAGUCUUAACCAUAAACUAUGCCGACUAGGGAUCGGGCGGUGUUAUUAUUUUGACUCGCUCGGC